rnacentral:rRNA from 1 species
CCUACGGGUGGCAGCAGUGGGGAAUAUUGCACAAUGGGGGGAACCCUGAUGCAGCAAUGCCGCGUGAAGGAUGAAGGUUUUCGGAUUGUAAACUUCUUUUGUUCGGGACGAAGAAAGCGACGGUUCCGUAAGAAUAAGCCACGUCUAACUACGGGCCAGCAGCCGCGGUACUACGUAGGUGGCAAGCGUUAUGCGGAUUUACUGGGUGUAAAGGGCGAGUAGGGGGGAUGGGAAGUCAGAUGUGAAAACUAGGGGCUCAACCGAGAGAGUGCAUUUGAAACUGCAGUUCUUGAGUGAAGGAGAGGCAGGCAGAAUUCCUGGUGUAGCGGUGGAAUGCGUAGAUAUCGGGAGGAACACCAGUGGCGAAGGCGGCCUGCUGGACAUUAACUGACGCUGAGGCGCGAAAGCGUGGGGAGCAAACAGGAUUAGAUACCCUGGUAGUC